rnacentral:ncRNA from 2 species
AACAAAGCAUUGACAGGGAAGAGUACGAUGUGAACUGACUUUAAGAGAGGGAAAUCACAAGCUGGGAGAUUUCCUAAGCAGAACGUCGGAAGGUCGCCCAUGAGCUUCUUCAGCGAAAGGAUUGUUACAUCCAAUUAGUUGAAGACGGAUGAAAUCCGUUAUCCAAUUAAGCGCCAAUCAUGUUUUUUGAUUGGAAAAAAGGUGGUACCGCGAAGCAAACUCCAUUCGUCCUUUUA